UCUAUUCCUCGAUUGCAAAUCACCGUAGAGGCUGGUGAUGAUGUUCCAGAGGGAAUUCUUCCCUAAAUCAUUGCCCCAGCCUGAGGCCCAAAUCACUGCCCUGGCACUCUUGGUGAGGAGGGGAAGGUUUGUCCUGUGUGUUCCCACAGCUCUGGCAGUGAUGAGUGGUGAUGGAGGGACAGCGCAGAGCCCCAGCGGGUGAGUGCUCACUGGACUGGACUGGGUGCUGCAGACCACACGCUCCUUCCAGAUGCUUCUGGAGAGGUGCAGGAUGCUCUGGACACAUCAGUCAGAUGGUAGUGACUCAGCUUGAUCCCAUGAUGGUUUCCCUCCUCCUCCAGCCCAGUGAAAACAGCUCAGUGCCUCUGAAGCAGAAUGUCCUUCCUCAGCCGCGCAGGCAGAAGGGAAAGCUGGGAGGGUUUAUUUUUGCUGUCUCAUUUUUGAGGUUGAGUCUUUCUGAAGGUUAGCUCUGCCACGUCAGGUGUUUACACAGGCUCAGCACCACUUCUCAUUGGUGCGACAUGUAACUUUUAAGGGCAGGAAACUCUGGGACGGUGCUUUCACUGAGACAGAGGAGCAGACAGGGAAAACACUUGGAAAGCAGGCACAAAGCACAAGCACACUGCGGGCGGCGUGAAAAUACUGAAGGUUUUCAUGUUCCCAAAAGCGUGCAGGAAUGCCUUGCAGCCUACACAAAUUGCCUGGGGUGAAUGUUGCACUGAGAACCUGAUGUGUGGCUUUUGCCCUGAAUUAAAGCAUCAGCAUGUCAACACAGCCAAGACACACCACAUACCCCGGGUGGCAGGAGCGUUUUGCACCUCUGAAAAUAAACCAGCUAACAUCUAAUGCUCUAAAA